AUGGCGCGGCGCGAGGGGCGGGCGGGGCCCGGUGGGGGCGGUAAAACCCUCCUGGAGUCAUUCUCUCCGCACUCCGUCGAGCCCCCGCGCCGCUGUGCUGGAGCCGCAGGGCCUCCCUCCAGCCGCCUGGUCCCAGGCGGCCCGCGCCCCCUGUUCUUCCGGCCCUGGGGCCCCGGUGCCCCUCUGGCCCUCCCCCUCCUGCCGCGCGGAGUCGGAUCCUCUUCAGGUGGCCCGGCCGGGGCCUUCCCCUGCAAACCUGUCACCCGACACCCAGGAAGCGCGCGGCCGGGUCCCGGCUCCCCUUUGUUCCCCCGCUGGGCUCCGCGCUCGGGCGCCGCCCCCUCUUGCGGGGCAGCGGAGGUUUUGGCCUGGGCCGGGCGCGCUUCAGGUUCUGUCCAUGCGGCCCUUUCCGAACCUGGGCCCUUUUUCUCUGACUUCUUUGGUGUGGACUCCCCGCGGAGCUGGGAGGCGGCAGUGCGCCCAACCUGGAGCCGGCGCAGGCGAGGUGCGGCGGCACCUCCCAGGUUUGCGCCCGUCUUCGCAAAGCUUCUGAGGGCGAAAAUCCUGCGAGCCAGGUGGCGGAUUCUCGGGCCGGGUCACUCAGCUCUACCGGUGCGCAUCACCCUCCGCCUGUCACCCAGUGAGCCCGACCGAUGGGCACCGAGUCGGCGGAUCUCUGAUCCGAGGCCGAGACUUCGGAGAAAUCUGUCCUGGUGGCCUCGUCGUGGCCUGAGCCAACGCAAAGGAACCUGCCCCAAGCCCAGCUCUCAGCCUCGACCCCCACAUUCCCUGCGCGGCUCUCGGUUCGGACCUGGGCUGGGACCGGCGCGGCAACCUCCACCACUGCUCGUUUCUUUACCGCUCACGGUCGCCCCUUCAUGCUCCUGCGGGGGAGUUAGCGGGACCUCUGGAGUUGGCCUUACGCAAAGAAGAGAAAAUUCCAGGAUGACGGCCUCACUUGUGAGGAUUUCGUUUAUUCGUUUUCUCCUACCGAGGCCCAGUGGCUCUUGGAGUGAGCUCCGCACCCCAGACACCUGA
rnacentral:lncRNA from 1 species